GAAGAAACUCCUACAACGCCAUGAAGGACGGUAUCCGGAAGGGCUGCAUUGACGCAUGGAGGACUUGAAAUACCAACUCUUGAGAGAGCAAUGACAGAAACCUGGAAGAAUCCCACCUCCGAGAGCUCCACUGACCCGUGUGUCCAUCCAGCAGAGAUGUAGGUAGACCUAUGAAUGGUGACCAGUUCAUCCCUCCCUGCAAUGUGACGCAAGUUCUCCGGAUAGUGACUUAUGUGAGGUUUGCCUGCUAUAUACAAAGCUACCGCAGGGGUGUAGCCUUAAACCUUAAACCUGCCUUAACUCUGCUCGCCCACCUUUUUUAUAUGCGGAAUACAGUUAAUUUAGCUUUAAAGGUUGUCAUAAAUCUUUAUGACGGAAGCUCGUGGUAGCCUAUACAUCACAGCCUUGUGAUCUUGUAAAUCCCUUCGGAAACUAACCUUGGAUGUUAUCAGAAUAAUAUAUUCAAUAUUCAUGACAAGCUUUAUGGUUGCAGUUAACUGGCGGGCGUGCAUAGUUUGGCCUUUAACACCACUUCUGCACAAGAAAUAAAGUGUAAUGCUCCUUUACUAAGAAAAAAAUGAAGAAAACCCAAUAAAUCUCCGAGCCAA